AUACGGAGGGUGCAAGCGUUAUUCGGAAUCACUGGGCGUAAAGGACGCGUAGGCGGGUUGGCAAGUCAGAUGUGAAAUCCUACAGCUUAACUGUAGAACUGCAUUUGAAACUGCUAACCUAGAGUAUGGGAGGGGGAGAUGGAAUUAGCGGUGUAGGGGUAAAAUCCGUAGAUAUCACUAGGAAUACCGAAAGCGAAGGCGAUCUCCUGGAACAUAACUGACGCUAAGGCGUGAAAGCGUGGGGAGCAAACAGGAUUAGAAACCCUAGUAGUCC
rnacentral:rRNA from 1 species